UUAGUGAUGUAAAGAUAGGAUUUUUUAUUAUUUUAUCUGUAUCUGCUGCUACUAUGGUGAGAUGAUUUCUUAGGCCUAGCACAGACGAAUGAUAUAAUCAUCAUCAUCAAUCAUCGUCGUUAUCUGGAUACUCGCGGGAGUGGAGCAACUUUUCCAUUAACAAAAUUCUGAUGCUGACCCAGAGGAGGGAGUGGUAGUCCCAGAGAUCCACUGUCCCCAUCAGACAAGAAUCUUAAUUUGUUCAGACACAUCACCUUUGACUGACUGGGAUCUUGAUUUUCAGACACCUGAUAUUAUGCAAAUAUUUUAAAAAUUUUUUUGGAGCUCUAGAUUAAAACAAGACACAGUUCACAAACACACAAGAGGUUGUACUUUAUUCUUAUUAGUCCAUACUGAUCUUGGAUUAGCAUACCAACAACAUAUGAAUGUUAAAGUGAUAGUUCACCCC